CGCGUUGGCAACAAUCGUGCAGUAGGAGGGAGAGGAGCUGAGAGGCUCCUAUCUCAACUACUGCACCAAGGGAGCAGGGGAGGGCGGAGCGUCAGGGGCUCCACUCUCAACUGCUGCACAGGGGAGGGCGGAGAGUGAGAGGCUCCUAUCUCAACUGUGCAUGGGGGUGCAUGGGGAGGGCGGAGCGUGAGAGGCUCCACUCGCAACUGUGCAUGGCGGUGCAGGGGAGGGCGGAGCGUGAGAGGCUCCACUCUCAACUGCAUGGGGGUGCAGUGGAGGUCGGAGCGUGAGAGGCUCCAAUCUCAACUGCUGCACCCAGGAAGCAGAGGAGGACGUGAGUCCUUUUUCUGUUGUAGGCGUUAUAAAGCGUUAAAGCUUUAAAGGGCCAAUAAUAUAACUAAAGCUUCAGAGGAAGCAAAACUUUAAUGCCAGCGGGUGCACCCUAUAAAAUGGCUAAAAUGGUUUCAAGGUAUUUCCUCGGUUCUCGGUAUUUCAUGGUUUCAAGGUAUUUUACUGGUUCUCAGUAUUUCAAGGUUUCACAAGGGGUUUCUCGGGCUCAAUCUCAACUGCUGCACCCAGAGAGGGAGCAGGGGAGGACCUGAUUCACUUUUCUGUUCUCGGCUUUAUAAAGCUACAUUUAAAGGUUUAUAUAGGACCAAUAUUACUAAAGCUUCAGAGGAAGCAAAACUUUAAUGCCAGCGGGUGCACCCUUUAAACUGGCUAAAAUGGUUUCAAGGUUUCAUGGUUUCUCAAGGGAUUUCUCAGGUUCAAUCUCAACUGCUGCACCCAGAGAGGGAGCAGGCGAGGACCUGAGUCCCUUUUCUGUUCUUGGCUUUAUAAAGCUACAUUUAAAGGUUUAUAUAGGACCAAUACUAUUAUAAAGCUUCAGAGGAAGCAAAAACUUUAAUAGCCCUAUAAAAUGGCUAAAAUGGUUUCACAAGGUCUUGUGGUAUUUCAUGGUUUACAAGAGACCCCAAGGUUUUCCAAGGGGUUUCUCAAAUAUGUUACAGCACAAAACAGUGACUUUCAACAUGACCUUCAAACGGCACUUAGCUGUGAUGUAGGCUGUUUGACUGUGCUGUGUGGCUGUGUGGCUGUGUGCUGCGCUCUCUGCGCAGUGCAAUGUAUUGUUUUGGUGCAGUGCAUUGGGUGAAAUGUACUGUUUCUGGAGUUGGUCCAGGCUAUUGGGUGCAAUACAUUUUAUUGGGUGCUAGCCAAAGACAAUGGAUCCGUCGCAAUGCAACACAAGACAUAGAAGCUUGUGAUCCACAGUCCCCUCCCCUAACGGUCCUCGUCCACCUGAACGAAAAAGGGUGGCAAAUCUCCCCCCAAACUCGACUGUGGCUAAAGUGACUGCUGUCUGUUGCUGCUUUGUGACCGAUACAAUGGAACUGGAUUGGACCAAAUGGAACUGGAUUGGACCAAGUGGAACUGGAUCGGAUCCUAUGGAACUGGAUUGAACCCGAUGGAACUGGAAUUGGACUAUCUUACCGUAGCAUAUCUCUUUUGUAAAAAAGAUCUGUUGUACAGAUCUGUUGUACAUGUAGUUUGUUGCAUCUGUCCUCUCAUUGUAUGACGAGUCAGAACUGAGCUGUGAUUUAAGUCACUGGGGUGUUUGCUGCUGCUGCUGCUGCUUUUACUAAUCUAUUCCAGAAGAGACGUACUUCUGGAAUAGCCCCCCCGGUCAGUGGCCACCAUGAGACAGAAGAACCUAUGGUGGUGAGUAUCCCAAUCUCCUCCUGUGGCUUGAGUAACUGGUGUUUGUUGCUGCUUUGUGGGGGGGGGGGUUUCUUUUUUACUCCUAUUCCAGAAGAGAGACGUACUUCUGGAAUAGCCCCCCUGGUCAGUGGCCACCAUGAGACAGAAGAACCUAUGGUGGUGAGUAUCCCAAUCUCCUCCUGUGGCUUGAGUAACUGGUGUUUGUUGCUGCUUUGUGGUUUGUUUUUUUUCCCCCUUAUUUAUUCCAGAAAGGAGACCCAACAUGGAGACCUUGAGGCAACGCUUGGCGGAUCUCCACGACAUCUCAGAACAUGUUACAUUAUUACGUUGUUACAUCUGUAUAAGUGUUUCAAUGUAUGCUCUUAAACAAAAACUUAGUCAAAGCGACGUUUGAAGUAAAACCUUAAAGUUGCUUCCACAGCAACACAAAACUUAGUCAAAGCGACGUUUGAAGUAAAACCUUAAAGUUGCUGCCACAGCAACACAAAACUUAGUCAAAGCGACGUUAAAAGUAAAACCUUAAAGUUGCUGCCACAGCAACACAAAACUUAGUCAAAGCGACGUUAAAAGUAAAACCUUAAAGUUGCCACAGCAACAAAACUUUAUAUUAAAAGCACAAAAUGGGGGCCCCUUGUGUGUUUUACAUUGCUGUAACAUGUUUUGGUCGAUGUUGUUCUGCUCCUGUUCUCGCUGUCUUGUCUCUACCUCCUAUCUCCUAUCACCCCAACCGGUCGAGGCAGAUGGCCGCACACCUUGAGUCUGGUUCUGUCAGAGAUUUCUUCCUGUUAAAAGGGAGUUUUUUCUCUCCACUGUUGGCACUUGUGCUUGCUCAUUGUGUGAAUUGUUGGGUUUCUCUUCUCUCUAAGAUAAAAUGGACUUACUGAUAGAAAUGUUAAUCGCAGCUAAGUCAGACAACAACAACACUCCAUGCACCCACACACUUAGUUCAGGACAGAGUGAGAGUAGUCAGCGUUAGCAACGUUUGUGUUUCAAUGUUUGUUUGUCAUUGUUGUCUGCGUCAUUCAUGUUGUAAACGUCCCCUUCUUUUGUCUCCGUCCUCUAUCUUCCCCAAUCCCUCUUCCCCUUUUCCCAUUGAUGACCGUUCACAGUGCAGGGACUGUAAUGGACUCUUCGCUGUGAACGAAGAGCAAAACUGUCCGACACUAACAGACUCACAGUCCUGUCAGACUGUUUGUCUAAGUUGUGGGACAGGACAUAUCAAUGAGACGAGGUCCGAGACACACUUUGUCCAUGUUUGCGUGACAAGGAGAGGAGAAAAGAGGAGACGAGGAAAGGAUGAUGGAGCAGCAUCAGCCUCUGCAGGAGGACGGAGACGAUAACGUGAAGUUGCCCCAGGUUAAUUUUCUGUUUUCAUGCGUUCACAGAAACCAGCAGCGAAACACAUGGACUGGAUUUCACUGACUGGACUGGAUGUGAUUUACCUGUUUUUAGUGCGGCCAGCUGGGGGCGCCACAGCCACUUCACCCCAUCAGCGUGGAUUAAGAAGUUUGAAGUUUUUGUAUAAAUUAAUAGAAAAUGGCUCUUUAUUUUUUUUCCAUUGCUUUGAAAAGUCACCUGAUUAUUUACACUUUAACUUCAUUUAUAAUUCACACUUAAGUGUUGCAUUGGGAGUUGUUCCGUCUUUUGUAUUUGUGAAGAAUAAGUUAACUGUUCAUUUUUAUUUAUUCUUUGGAAUAUUUUCUGGUUUCUUUGCUCCAUAGAAAAAAGAAGUCAUUACAACAGAAUCAUUUGAGAACAUCAUCAUUUCCAGGUUUGACAAACACUGAUCAAUAUUUUUCUACAUUUCAUGACAUUUCAUGGACCAAACUACUACUCCAUUCAUCGAGAAAAUUAAUUGAUUAUAAAUAUAUUCGUUAGCUGCAGCUCUACUACGGUGGCCUUGAAGUGCAAAUCACCAACACAAAUGGGAAAACACAACAUUAACUGAAAUGCAACAACCAGUUUCAGUUAAUGUUCUUGUGUUUUGGUUGUUUUAGCUGAUGUUGUUUCAGUUGAUGUCGUUGACGUUUGUGUUUCAGUUGCCGUUGUUGGGUUUCCAUUGGCGGUGUUGGGUUUCAGUUGCCGUUGUAGGGUUUCGGUUGACGGUGUUGUGUUUCAGUUGCCGUUGUUUUCCUAUUUGUGUUGGUGAUUUGCACUUCAAGGCCACCGUAGUAGAGCUACAGGUAACAAUUAUAUUUAUAAUCAAUUAAUUCUCGAUGAAUAGAAUAAUCGUUUGGUCCAUGAAAUGUCAUGAAAUGUAGAAAAAUACUGAUCAGUGUUUGUCAAACCUGGAAAUGAUGAUGUUCUCAAAUGAUUCAGUUUAAAUGAUUUAUUUGUUCUAUGGAGCAAAGAAACCAGAAAAUACUCACAUUUAAGAAGCUAAAACAAUCAUAAAUCUUGUUUUUAAUAAUGACAAACCCAUUAUCAAAAUAGUUGACGAUUCAUUUAAUGUAAUGGAUUAUUCGAGUAAUUGUUUUAGCCCUACACCGUAGUCAUGUAUUGCUAACUGCAUUUUCUUUCUUUUCUAUUUGCUUUGCAUGAAAACUGCUUUAAGGAAAGAGUCUGAAUUAAACCUAAUCCUAUAUAUUUAUUUUUUUUUACUUUACCUUUCUUUUUCAACUUAUUAUAUGCUGUGUUGUUUGACUAUUUUUCUGCUUUGUAUUUAUGUCUCUGUGCAGCAUCUUGAAUUUGCCUUUUAUGUAAAGAAGAAUGUUUCUUUUUAAAUAACCUGGUCACUGUCAUUUGUGUAUACAUUUACAAAUGAUCCAAAGUGAAAAUGGUUAGCUUCUGGUGUAACACUGAUGUUGAUGACUUCAUUGUCUUACAACUAAUAAAAUGGCCAAUCACUUUAAA